AUUGAACGCUGGCGGCAUGCCUUACACAUGCAAGUCGAACGGUAACAGGUCUUCGGAUGCUGACGAGUGGCGAACGGGUGAGUAAUACAUCGGAACGUGCCCGAUCGUGGGGGAUAACGCAGCGAAAGCUGUGCUAAUACCGCAUACGAUCUACGGAUGAAAGCGGGGGAUCGCAAGACCUCGCGCGGACGGAGCGGCCGAUGGCAGAUUAGGUAGUUGGUGGGAUAAAAGCUUACCAAGCCGACGAUCUGUAGCUGGUCUGAGAGGACGACCAGCCACACUGGGACUGAGACACGGCCCAGACUCCUACGGGAGGCAGCAGUGGGGAAUUUUGGACAAUGGGGGAAACCCUGAUCCAGCCAUGCCGCGUGCAGGAUGAAGGCCUUCGGGUUGUAAACUGUCUUUUGUACGGAACGAAACGGUCUGCCCUAAUACGGCGGGCUAAUGACGGUACCGUAAGAAUAAGCACCGGCUAACUACGUGCCAGCAGCCGCGGUAAACUGUACG
rnacentral:rRNA from 1 species